rnacentral:rRNA from 1 species
UGGGGAAUAUUGCACAAUGGAGGGAACUCUGAUGCAGCGACGCCGCGUGAGUGAUGAAGGAAUUCGUUUCGUAAAACUCUGUUCUAUGGGAAGAAAAGGACUGUACCAUAGGAGAAAGCUCCGGCUAAAUACGUGCCAGCAGCCGCGGUAAUACGUAUGGAGCGAGCGUUGUCCGGAAUUAUUGGGCGUAAAGGGUGCGCAGGCGGCUUUACAAGUUGGAUGUGAAAUAUUGUGGCUCAACCACAAACGUGCAUCCAAAACUGGAAAGCUAGAGUUAAGGAGAGGUAAGUGGAAUUCCUGGUGUAGCGGUGGAAUGCGUAGAUAUCAGGAGGAAUACCGGUGGCGAAGGCGACUUACUGGACUUAAACUGACGCUCAGGCACGAAAGCGUGGGGAGCAAACAGG